CACGUAGGGGGCAAGCGUUGUCCGGAUUUAUUGGGCGUAAAGAGCUCGUAGGCGGCUCAGUAAGUCGGGUGUGAAACCUCCAGGCUCAACCUGGAGACGCCACCUGAUACUGCUGUGGCUAGAGUCCGGUAGGGGAGCGUGGAAUUCCUGGUGUAGCGGUGAAAUGCGCAGAUAUCAGGAGGAACACCAGCGGCGAAGGCGGCGCUCUGGGCCGGAACUGACGCUGAGGAGCGAAGCGUGGUAGCAAACAGGAUAGAAA
rnacentral:rRNA from 1 species